GGGCCACUAGCUCAAUUGGCAGAGCUGCGGACUCUUAAUCCGUCGGUUCCAGGUUCAAGUCCUGGGUGGCCCA
rnacentral:tRNA from 3 species